CUACCUUAGUCAAAAGAAGCGAACAGCAGUUAUGGCUGAGAAUAAAUGACUGUUAAGUGCUCAGCCCUAAAUAGGGCAUCUGUAUUAACCCUGCCACAGCUCAGGAACCAUUGCUGAGGAGGAAGAAUGUAAGAGCUGGAGGACAGGAGGAGAGCCAUGAAACACUGUCUUCGGGACAUGGCCUGGCCAUUGUACUCAGGAACUCACAGUAGCUGAGCCCCAACAUUCCAGCAUGGAUGGAGAAAGAGCCUCACAAUGGACUUCAGUAAGCCUGUGUGUGCUGGUCUUCCUGGAUAGAGCAGCCGGAAGUGAAGAGUGUGGAACUUGCCAUCCAAGACCACAGUUGUCACCAAGAUCUGCAUGGCAACCACUCAGGAGGAAGUGGCGCUGUGUUUGUUCACCCGGCGGAGCUUCCAAGGAUAUGCAUUAAACUUGCGUCCCUGCCAGCCCUGGCAGUUUGCGGCAUUCUUGCUGAGGAAAGGCUCGUUUUCCUGCACUCAAGGAGGCAUGGUAAGGCGAAGGUUUCCCGUUUGGCCACUAGGUGGCGAAAGAGUUCCACUGAAGAGACUGCCACUGGUCCAAGGCACUAAAGGAAAACCUAGACAGGAGUUUGAGGCCUCAAGUGAUUUCAGAGCAGGACAGGACCUCAGACAUCACUUGGUCUAACCCUAUCUUGUUAUGUGAGAAAAGGAGAUCUCCGAG
rnacentral:lncRNA from 1 species